GAUCAUGGCUCAGGACGAACGCUGGCGGCGUGCUUAACACAUGCAAGUCGAACGGAGUGCUCAUGACAGAGGUUUCGGCCAAUGGAUUGAGUUACUUAGUGGCGGACUGGUGAGUAACGCGUGAGGAACCUGCCUUUCAGAGGGGGACAACAGUUGGAAACGACUGCUAAUACCGCAUGACACAUCGAAGGGGCAUCCCUUUGAUGUCAAAGAUUUUAUCGCUGAAAGAUGG
rnacentral:rRNA from 1 species